CGGUGUAGCUCAGUUGGUAGAGCAGCUGAUUUGUAAUCAGCAGGUCGGGGGUUCGAGUCCCUUCGCCG
rnacentral:tRNA from 1 species